GGGGAUUUGGCUCAGUGGUAGAGCACUUGCCUAGGAAGAACAAGGUCCUGGGUUCAAUCCCCAGCCCCG
rnacentral:tRNA from 1 species